AUGGCACUGCAACAAUAUGAACUAGUUGCAUUCACAUUUAAACACUUCCCAAACUUGCAGCAAUACAACAUUAUCAGUCCAGACUUCAUGACAAUUCACAGUUACAAAAAAAAUCAAGCUACUAAACCAAAUAUAAAAUCGUGCCAAGUCCUAGCUAAAGGGGGAAAUUGCCUACAAAUCAAAACUAAACCAUUGAAAAGAGAAAAGAAGCAGUGA